AUCUGAUAAGUGCUGAUUGCUUGCAACCCCCACACCCACAGGCUUCAAGAGUUGUUGGGUGUGCUCACUAUUUUGCAUUGUUGGGCUCUUGGAGCAGACCUCCAUCCUGUUUUCAUAAAGGUCUGUUUCAGGUUAUGCAUCACCCCCCUUCUUUCUGGCUGUUGCAGUCUUCUUCCAGAGAACAUGCGUGCGUGGCUCCCAAGACUUUAUGUGGUUUCUGGUUUGGAAUGGAGCACCCGUAGCAGGAAGAGCAGAGCAGAGCAGAAUGUGUUUAUGAGCAAGGAUGGUCAUGCAUGGCAGCAGGAACUCUGAGGUCAUUCUUUCCCUGUUCUAAACAAAAAACUGACAGUGGUGCCAAAAUUGCUUGCUGGAGAACAUAGAAUACCAUGCUUCUCAACCACAUCAAAGGUGAGUGCAACCAUUGCUUUGCUCAAAACACCACCAUAGAUUUAUUGGUGGCAUCUUUCAUGGACUAAAUGAAAAUGCAUGAAGACAAUAGGUUAGCUUUUGAGGACCAUAGAGGCUUCAUCAUGUCCUGGCAAAGCAGACCUGGUAAUGAAAGCAAAACUCGCAGCAUGUUUGCUAAGAUGGUAUUUUUUAGACAAAUACAAAAGAUCAGCUACCUAAACAGGAUUUGGCAACUGUUUUGUCUUGUGUGUUAUUUCAUCUGCCAAGGAGAACUGGGCUUUUGAUCAUGCCAAAUGGACCAUCUUCAUAUGUAUCCACUGUCUGUGCUAAAAUUAAAAGCAAAUACUAGUGGUCCCUCCUGAGACUGGGUCUCCAUUGUGCUCAGUGCUGCACGUAGACAGGAAGAGACCGUUCCAGUCCCUAAAAUGGAGCUACUGUCAGUGUCGCUCUUCCUAGCAUUCCAGUCCAUUGGCAUGUUUUUGUACCAAAAUGGUUCUAUGAAGAGCCCGCUUUCUGAGGUUCCUAGUUAGAUAAUGUUUAACUGCCAGUAAGCAGAGAAUGGAGGAAAGCUUUACCUAUUGUUGAAGGCAAGUUCUUUACUGACCUCUGCAUCCUUAAGGAUAUGUCUAGCCUUGAGAGCUAUUCAUGUAAACAGACUAAAUCAUGUUUUUUCUGUCCCAUUAGUAGUGAUAGGAGAUUGACAAUGGACAAAUGUGAGCUCCAUGCCAAGCACAUUAUCUACAAAUAACCACAGCUUAAAGAUCUGCUCCGGCAGCUUGCUCAUCACAGUGCAAAGAACAGCAAUGCAAGUGAGUAGAAAAAGAACCUGACAAAGCCAAGCAGAAAAGGAAACAUGAUUGAUGCACUACUGCAAUAAUUUCACCGCACAGCCAUUUCACUAUGAUGGUUUGGGAAAGUAGGAGGGGUCUGGGAAUAUAAUGAAUGAAGGGACUCUCACCAGGCUAGGCAUAUUGGCCAAGAGCCACAAAAGUACUUGAAACCCAAGAACUCAGUGAGGAGGGCAGGGCGAGGGCCUGGGUAUCCCAGAGAGCUAGCUUUAAUUUUAUUCAGCAGUAAUGCAAGGAACCUACAGGCCUGUAUCCUGUAAGACAUUGGCUUCAGCAGUUAGCACAAGGCUUGAGGCCUAUGAACUUUGGCAUAGAUAAAUGGCCCAACAGUCAUCCCUGAGUUUUGGGGAACUGGGGAUAGAGUGUUUAAGGGAGAAGUUUGUACGCAAUGACACCAGGCAAUCACAGGAAUAUGAGCGAACAUCAACUUUUGGAUAUUUUAGGAUAGGAACAUCUGCAGGUAUCUGACCAGCAGAGUGCCAUGGUAACCAACUGACAUAAUGAUAAUAAGUUGAGAUCAUUAAUAUACUAACCUAUAUGAGAAGGGCACUCAACAUUAGUAGUGUGAGGAAAUACAAAUAAGGAAAAAUCUCUACUGUAUAUGCAUUAGGUAUCAUGUCAUCAGCAUAACAUAUUGUAAACGUUGUAUCCCAGCCUGUGUGCUGGAGGAGAGAGAGAUGUAGCUCUUGGGAGGUGUCAGGAUGAUGGCCACUGGUGAUGUAGAGGAAGAUGAUAGUGAUGAGGAAGAGCCUGGCUAACAUUUCAGGUUGUUCUGCAAGAGAUGGUGGGAGUACAUGGAUGUUCAGAUGUAUGGUCUGUAUUCUCUCUAUCUUUCUGGAUUAGAGUGCUUGUAACUCUGCUAAAUGUAUUAAUAAAACUAUUACAGAUGCAGAAGGGUUCCUCAAGUGUGAGUGUUAUAAUUGUGCACAUUGGGGUUCCCACAUGAACAGUCAUUUUUAUAAUACUUGGCCUGAUCUUGGUACCUGUCAAACCUCAGAGUGAUGACAGGGAAUUCUUAAGUAAUCAGUAGAAUUAAUGCAAAAUCCAUAGUUUAGGCAACAAGCCACACCCCUCUCAUUGGCAUCUUCCACUGACUAGCUCCUGGCCUAACUUAUUAGCUUUUGUGGAUCUCAUUCUCAGAUGCAUAUCUCUCCCCAUUCACUGUAUAGGGACCCUUGGUGCCUAAUGUAGGUUCUGUGGAUCCCAUUGUUGUUCCAGUGAUUUUUUUUUCUAGGUGCCUAAAAGUUAGGUGUUGCAAUGUGUAAGUCCUUGUGUGGAUCAGACCACUUCUGCAAUUUCAGUAGAGAAGCCAAGAGCAGGAAUGUGCAUGGAUAUUGUGACUUUCCUCCAACCCACAGUGGUCCCUAUGGAGCAAGAAUUAUACCUCUACAUACUACUGUGGCCACAGACCUUUAUGGCUAGGCUGUGUCAUCUGCAUGCAGUUCAUUGUAAAGCGUGCUUUAACUCAACUGCAGCCAGUAGGAACACCACAAAGCAUUCAGAAUGUCUCCUGGAGCUCCCCAGUGUGCAGUGGGAGUGUGUACACUGCUAUACUCAUUCUCAGAGUGUAGCAUACAGCCCCCCCCCAUGGCUGGCCAUGGUACCCCCUACUUCCCAAAGCCACUGGGAACCAGUGUCCAGACCCUCACAUAGGCACACAGAUCAUCAGUGAAAAGUGUCCUUGGAAUAGGCAGAAAAGGAGCAGGGAGUUAAAGCACUAAAAUAAGCUUUUCUUACCAUGGAAAUCAAGACUCUGACAUCCAACAUUCAAAGGCUUCACAUGUAUAGCACAUUUCAUGACUCUGAAUAUAAAACUAGUCACUCUAGUACACAGGACAUGACUUUCAUAAAUGGAACGUGCCAACUAAGCAGCACAGCAUAUUUAAUGUUUUGGGGUAACAUAAUUAUUACACGAAUACAAAUGUACACAAAGCAGUGACGUACGAACCAGAGAGGUAGUUUGUUUUUAUUUACCUUCCACUUUACAUUUGGUCUCAGAGUAGUAACCGUGUUAGUCUGUAUUCACAAAAAGAAAAGGAGUACUUGUGGCACCUUAGGCACUAAAACUUAUUUGAGCAUAAGCUUUCGUGAGCUACA